rnacentral:rRNA from 1 species
GUCCAGACUCCUACGGGAGGCAGCAGUGGGGAAUAUUGCACAGUGGGGGAAACCCUGAUGCAGCGACGCCGCGUGAGCGAUGAAGUAUUUCGGUAUGUAAAGCUCUAUCAGCAGGGAAGAAGAUGACGGUACCUGACUAAGAAGCCCCGGCUAACUACGUGCCAGCAGCCGUGGUAAUACGUAGGGGGCAAGCGUUAUCCGGAUUCACUGGGUGUAAAGGGGGCGUAGACGGCGAUGCAAGUCUGAAGUGAAAGGCGGGGGCCCAACCCCCGGACUGCUUUGGAAACUGUAUGGCUGGAGUGCAGGAGAGGUAAGUGGAAUUCCUAGUGUAGCGGUGAAAUGCGUAGAUAUUAGGAGGAACACCAGUGGCGAAGGCGGCUUACUGGACUGUAACUGACGUUGAGGCUCGAAAGCGUGGGGAGCAAACAGGAUUAGAUACCCUCGUA